CUACGGUCAAAUCACGCUGAAACAACGGGUCUCAUACGAUCACCGAAGUUAAGCAGCGUAGAGCCAGGUCAGUACUUAGAUGGGGACCGCUUGGGAACACCUGGUACUGUAAG
rnacentral:rRNA from 1 species